CAAUAGCGUAUAUUAAAGUUGUUGCAGUUAAAAAGCUCGUAGUUGGAUUUCUGGUUGAAGCGACCGGUCGGGCGUUGAUUCGUCUGCACUGGAGUCGGUUUUGGCCAUCCUCUAGGAAAGUGCGUCUGGUAUUAAGUUAUCGGGCGUAUGAUCCUGGUCUUUUACUGUGAAAAAAUUAGAGUGUUUAAAGCAGGCCUUCGCCUUGAAUACAUUAGCAUGGAAUAAUAAGAUAGGACCUUGGUCUAUUUUGUUGGUUUGCAGACCGAAGUAAUGAUUAAUAGGGAUAGUUGGGGGUAUUUAUAUUCCGAUGUCAGAGGUGAAAUUCUUAGAUUUUCGGAAGAUAAACUUAUGCGAAAGCAUUUACCAAGGAUGUUUUCAUUA
rnacentral:rRNA from 1 species